GUGGUCUGGUUUCUCUCUCUUCCUCUGUUUCUGUAUUCUCUCUACAAAAUUGCUGCAUUCUUUUUGCUCCAAAUUUGUAUGUGCUUGCGGAAUCGCACCUUGGAAAUGGAAUAUCGCAGUUUCGAAAACUGAAUCUUUAAGUAAGAGUCUGAAACUUGACACCAACAACAUCAAAGAAAAAUAUAAAAGGUAAGUUUCUUAAUUUUCAAAAUUACAGUGUUGACAAGUGGGUGAUGGGUAGAGAAGUUAAGCAAUGGAGAAUAGAGUGACAAUGUGACAGAGAAUGAAGGAGCUAGAUGCUGCAAUCUCAGCCACUACUUGUAUAUAUGGAAGAACGAGGAGAGGGGAGGAAGAGAGAAGAAGAUGAACUCCAUUUGGCUUUUGGUGAAAGGACAAAAUAGGGGUGAAAGGACAAAACAGUCCCUCAAAAAAAAAUAAUUAAAUAAGUGGAAAAAAAAUAAAGCAGAUAUUGACACGUGACGUGCGUGUACUAUAUAUCCCACCACAAGACUGAUUAAGUGUUACCAAUGGGGUAUUAAAUUCGCCCCAAAGAAGAAUAGGGGGGACAUAGGUCGCCCGUAAAGUUUAGAUAUGUAAAUGAUUUUUCAUGACAAAUUGAAUGGGCUCUUUAUGUA